AUAAAACGCUGGCGGCAUGCCUUACACAUGCAAGUCGAACGGCAACAGGUUAAGCUGACGAGUGGCGAACGGGCGAGUAAUGUACCGGAACGUGCCCAGGCGUGGGGGAUAACUUCUCGAAAGAGCAGCUAAUACCGCAUACGACCUGAGGGUGCAAGCGGGGGAUCGCAAGACCUCGCGCGAUUGGAGCGGCCGAUAUCGGAUUAGGUAGUUGGUGGGGUAAAGGCCUACCAAGCCUACGAUCUGUAGCUGGUCUGAGAGGACGACCAGCCACACUGGGACUGAGACACGGCCCAGACUCCUACGGGAGGAAGCAGUGGGGAAUUUUGGACAAUGGACGCAAGUCUGAUCCAGCCAUGCCGCGUGCGGGAAGAAGGCCUUCGGGUUGUAAACCGCUUUUGUCAGGGAAGAAAAGGUUCUGGCUAAUACCUGGGACUCAUGACGGUACCUGAAGAAUAAGCACCGGCUAACUACGUGCCAGCAGCCGCGGUAAAAC
rnacentral:rRNA from 1 species